rnacentral:tRNA from 2 species
GGGUCCAUAGCUCAGCGGUUAGAGCAACCGGCUCAUAACCGGUCGGUCCCAGGUUCGAAUCCUGGUGGACCCA